rnacentral:rRNA from 1 species
AUACGUAGGUGGCAAGCGGGGAAAGGAGGGAGGGGGCGUAAAGGGAGCGCAGGCGGUUUCUUAAGUCUGAUGUGAAAGCCCCCGGCUCAACCGGGGAGGGCCAUUGGAAACUGGGAAACUUGAGUGCAGAAGAGGAGAGUGGAAUUCCAUGUGUAGCGGUGAAAUGCGUAGAUAUAUGGAGGAACACCAGUGGCGAAGGCGGCUCUCUGGUCUGUAACUGACGCUGAGGCUCGAAAGCGUGGGGAGCAAACAGGAUUAGAUACCCUGGUAGUCCACGCCGUAAACGAUGAGUGCUAAGUGUUGGAGGGUUUCCGCCCUUCAGUGCUGCAGCUAACGCAUUAAGCACUCCGCCUGGGGAGUACGACCGCAAGGUUGAA